rnacentral:rRNA from 1 species
UGAGGAAUAUUGGUCAAUGGGAGAGAUCCUGAACCAGCCAAGCCGCGUGAGGGAAGACGGCCCUAUGGGUUGUAAACCUCUUUUGUUCGGAGAACAAAACCCGGGACGUGUCCCGGACUGCGUGUAUCCGAAGAAAAGCAUCGGCUAACUCCGUGCC